UAGCCCCGAUAGCAACGGCAUCCUUUUUUUGGAGCGAGGCGGCGGAGCGCCGACCGAGAUCCAAAAAAAGAUAUAGUGGAUAGCGGGAUUAAG
rnacentral:sRNA from 1 species